AAGUCGUAACAAGGUUUCCGUAGGUGAACCUGCGGAAGGAUAUUAAAGAAUUAGCUUCGCGGCCAAGUUCUCAGCCCUUUGUAGUACCGGAAACCAUGUUGCUUUGGCAGGCCCCUGCAUUUCUCGGGCCUGCCAGAGGUAUAAACCCUAGAGUCUCUGCUGUCUGAGUACUAUACAAUAGUUAAA
rnacentral:misc_RNA from 1 species